AACGAACGCUGGCGGCAGGCCUAACACAUGCAAGUCGAGCGAGGACUUCGGUUCUAGCGGCGGACGGGUGAGUAACGCGUGGGAAAGUGCCCUUCUCUACGGAAUAGCCCUGGGAAACUGGGAGUAAUACCGUAUACGCCCUUUUGGGGAAAGAUUUAUCGGAGAAGGAUCAGCCCGCGUUGGAUUAGGUAGUUGGUGGGGUAAUGGCCUACCAAGCCGACGAUCCAUAGCUGGUUUGAGAGGAUGAUCAGCCACACUGGGACUGAGACACGGCCCAGACUCCUACGGGAGGCAGCAGUGGGGAAUCUUAGACAAUGGGGGCAACCCUGAUCUAGCCAUGCCGCGUGAGUGAUGAAGGCCUUAGGGUUGUAAAGCUCUUUCAGCUGGGAAGAUAAUGACGGUACCAGCAGAAGAAGCCCCGGCUAACUCCGUG
rnacentral:rRNA from 1 species